CCUACGGGAGGCAGCAGUGGGGGAUAUUGCACAAUGGGGGAAACCCUGAUGCAGCGACGCCGCGUGUGGGAAGACGGUCUUCUGGAUUGUAAACCACUGUCCCCAGGGACGAAAAUGACGGUACCGGGGGAGGAAGCUCCGGCUUACUACGUGCCAGCAGCCGCGGUAAGAGGGAGGGAGCAAGCGUGGUCCGGAAUUACUGGGUGUAAAGGGAGCGUAGGGGGGGAGGCAAGUUGGGUGUCACAACUACCGGCUCAACCGAUAGUCGCACUCCAAACUGCAGCUCUUGAGUGAAGUAGAGGCAGGCGGAAUUCCUAGUGUAGCGGUGAAAUGCGUAGAUAUUAGGCGGAACACCAGUGGCGAAGGCGGCCUGCUGGGCUUUUACUGACGCUGAGGCUCGAAAGUGUGGGGAGCAAACAGGAUUAGAUACCCUUGUAGUC
rnacentral:rRNA from 1 species